UACAGAGGGUGCGAGCGUUGUCCGGAAUCACUGGGCGUAAAGGGCGCGUAGGCGGCCUGGUAAGUAGGGGGUGAAAUCUCAUGGCUCAACUGUGAGGCUGCCUUCUAGACUGCCGGGCUUGAGCAUGGUAGAGGCUGGUGGAAUUCCCGGUGUAGCGGGGGAAUGCGUAGAGAUCGGGAAGAACAUCUGUGGCGAAGGCGGCCAGCUGGGCCAUCUGCUGACGCUGAGGGGCGAAAGCGUGGGGAGCAAACAGG
rnacentral:rRNA from 1 species